UACAAUUCUAUCAGUUGAUCGGAGAGAGGAGGUAGGUGGUCAGGAGCUUGGCUCUCAAUAUUGUAAGGUUGUCGUGAACUAUGUAAUAAAAAGGGAUGCUAUUCUGCCUCGUGGUGUUGGGGACAUGACAACCAUGGGGCAAGCUCAAGGGCGAUGUAUCGCAUGGCCUUACAAGCAUUUGGAAGUGGACAAGUCAAUGGCAAAUGCAGCAAUGCGACCAUAAGCAAGCUGAGGAGGUUUCCCAAACAUACACAGCAAGUUUG